rnacentral:rRNA from 1 species
GAUGAACGCUGGCGGCGUGCCUAAUACAUGCAAGUCGAGCGCAGGAAAUCGACGGAACCCUUCGGGGGGAAGUCGACGGAAUGAGCGGCGGACGGGUGAGUAACACGUAAAGAACCUGCCCUCAGGUCUGGGAUAACCACGAGAAAUCGGGGCUAAUACCGGAUGGGUCAUCGGACCGCAUGGUCCGAGGAUGAAAGGCGCUUCGGCGUCGCCUGGGGAUGGCUUUGCGGUGCAUUAGCUAGUUGGUGGGGUAAUGGCCCACCAAGGCGACGGUGCAUAGCCGGACUGGGAGGGUGAGCGGCCACACUGGGACUGAGACACGGCCCAGACUCCUACGGGAGGCAGCAGUAGGGAAUCUUCCACAAUGGACGAAAGUCUGAUGGAGCAACGCCGCGUGAACGAUGAAGGCCUUCGGGUCGUAAAGUUCUGUUGUAAGGGAAGAACAAGUGCCGCAGGCAAUGGCGGCACCUUGACGGUACCUUGCGAGAAAGCCACGGCUAACUACGUGCCAGCCGCCGCCGUAA